CAGUUUGGGGCCUUGCCCUUAAUACAUGCAAGUCGAACGAACUCUGGUAUUGAUUGGUGCUUGCAUCAUGAUUUACAUUUGAGUGAGUGGCGAACUGGUGAGUAACACGUGGGAAACCUGCCCAGAAGCGGGGGAUAACACCUGGAAACAGAUGCUAAUACCGCAUAACAACUUGGACCGCAUGGUCCGAGUUUGAAAGAUGGCUUCGGCUAUCACUUUUGGAUGGUCCCGCGGCGUAUUAGCUAGAUGGUGGGGUAACGGCUCACCAUGGCAAUGAUACGUAGCCGACCUGAGAGGGUAAUCGGCCACAUUGGGACUGAGACACGGCCCAAACUCCUACGGGAGGCAGCAGUAGGGAAUCUUCCACAAUGGACGAAAGUCUGAUGGAGCAACGCCGCGUGAGUGAAGAAGGGUUUCGGCUCGUAAAACUCUGUUGUUAAAGAAGAACAUAUCUGAGAGUAACUGUUCAGGUAUUGACGGUAUUUAACCAGAAAGCCACGGCUAACUACGUGCCAGCAGCCGCGGUAAUACGUAGGUGGCAAGCGUUGUCCGGAUUUAUUGGGCGUAAAGCGAGCGCAGGCGGUUUUUUAAGUCUGAUGUGAAAGCCUUCGGCUCAACCGAAGAAGUGCAUCGGAAACUGGGAAACUUGAGUGCAGAAGAGGACAGUGGAACUCCAUGUGUAGCGGUGAAAUGCGUAGAUAUAUGGAAGAACACCAGUGGCGAAGGCGGCUGUCUGGUCUGUAACUGACGCUGAGGCUCGAAAGUAUGGGUAGCAAACAGGAUUAGAUACCCUGGUAGUCCAUACCGUAAACGAUGAAUGCUAAGUGUUGGAGGGUUUCCGCCCUUCAGUGCUGCAGCUAACGCAUUAAGCAUUCCGCCUGGGGAGUACGGCCGCAAGGCUGAAACUCAAAGGAAUUGACGGGGGCCCGCACAAGCGGUGGAGCAUGUGGUUUAAUUCGAAGCUACGCGAAGAACCUUACCAGGUCUUGACAUACUAUGCAAAUCUAAGAGAUUAGACGUUCCCUUCGGGGACAUGGAUACAGGUGGUGCAUGGUUGUCGUCAGCUCGUGUCGUGAGAUGUUGGGUUAAGUCCCGCAACGAGCGCAACCCUUAUUAUCAGUUGCCAGCAUUAAGUUGGGCACUCUGGUGAGACUGCCGGUGACAAACCGGAGGAAGGUGGGGAUGACGUCAAAUCAUCAUGCCCCUUAUGACCUGGGCUACACACGUGCUACAAUGGAUGGUACAACGAGUUGCGAACUCGCGAGAGUAAGCUAAUCUCUUAAAGCCAUUCUCAGUUCGGAUUGUAGGCUGCAACUCGCCUACAUGAAGUCGGAAUCGCUAGUAAUCGCGGAUCAGCAUGCCGCGGUGAAUACGUUCCCGGGCCUUGUACACACCGCCCGUCACACCAUGAGAGUUUGUAACACCCAAAGUCGGUGGGGUAACCUUUUAGGAACCAGCCGCAUAAAGGGGGACCCGGUUA
rnacentral:rRNA from 1 species